AACGAACGCUGGCGGCAGGCCUAACACAUGCAAGUCGAACGCCGUAGCAAUACGGAGUGGCAGACGGGUGAGUAACGCGUGGGAACAUACCCUUCGGUUCGGAACAACUCAGGGAAACUUGAGCUAAUACCGGAUACGUGCGAGAGCAGAAAGAUUCAUCGCCGAAGGGUUGGCCCGCGUUCGAUUAGCUAGUUGGUGAGGUAACGGCUCACCAAGGCGACGAUCGAUAGCUGGCUGAGAGGAUGAUCAGCCACAUUGGGACUGAGACACGGCCCAAACUCCUACGGGAGGCAGCAGUGGGGAAUAUUGGACAAUGGGCGCAAGCCUGAUCCAGCCAUGCCGCGUGAGUGAUGAAGGCCCUAGGGUUGUAAAGCUCUUUCGUCAGGGACGAUAAUGACGGUACCUGAAGAAGAAGCCCCGGCUAACUUCGUGCCAGCCGCCGCCGUAAU
rnacentral:rRNA from 1 species